CCCCAGCCCUAUUUUUGUCUGUUGAAAUGUCUGGUUGUUUGAUAGCUGCAGCGGCGGCGGCAGCCGCGUGAAGUUCACUCCCCAAGCAGCAAAGAUUGAUUUCUCCUUUGAGUAGCCCAUGCUCUCCACAGAAGUAUCCUUUCCAGUUAUGUUUUGAAAGUCAUCAGACAUGCUGUUAUAAAUGAUCACUGGCGAUUACUGGAGCUGCUGCAAAAUAAUAGUGAGCAGAAGAGCAUCUGUAAUUUCCACGGCUGGUUUGCAAUCAUCACUCAAAAAUGAACCCUGUCUGAAUGGUAAGGCAAAACUUUUCCUCCACCACUCCUCCGCCUCUUCCCUCACUCCUCUGUUUUUCUGUGCUCUCUAAUGUAGCUGAAAUAGAUACAGCCUCACAUGAAUUUUUAUGCAGAACUCCAGGCAAACCACUGCAGAACUAUCUCUCUGUGUGUGACGUUCAGGACAUCUUUAGGAGUGAAAAGGUGAAGCUUCUAUGUGCAACUCCAAGGUGGGUUUUGGCUAUUGCCCAAGUGUUGCCCAACUUCUGUGUUGUUCAUGUUGUGACCCCAAGGAAGGACUGCUCUGUGACUGACAGAAUCUGAGUUCUUCCACAAGGCUUCAGGCACCAUGAGCCAAGGAGACAGGCGGAGGCAGGGUUCUUUGGUAUUUGCAAAGAAGCUGAAGCCACACAGUCCAUAAUAUUAAAGGCAAAACCCUACCUAGCUGGGCAGGACAAGCUGGAGAACAGACCAGGAAGGAACAUCAGGAAGCAAGUAAAUAUCUGGCAGGGAGGAAGAAAAACAACAGCCUGGAGUGGGAUUAGCUUGCUUUGAUCACAUGACUCCCUAACUCAGAUCACAUGACUCUGAAAUGCAGGUUCUGGCUCCCGCCAGCUGUUGCCUAUCUUGAAAUAUGGAACACUAAUAUCAGGAGCAGGGAAAUAGCAUCUGGCCUGCCAGGGUUGCAAGUUUGAACCUUGUGGCAUCUCAGUUAUUGUUCAAGCUAGACUUCAUGCAGGUUGUUGCUUGGAGCUUUUCAAACUGUUGAGGCAUUCUGGUGGGCAUUAGAGAAGUAGGCUUCAAUAUUUUCAGUGAAGGUGUGGCAUAAGCUAUACAGAUAUCAACAACUUCACUGGUGAUGAAUUUAAGCUAACAUCUUAUGGAGUCAUCACUGAAUUUUGGGUGGUAAAGGUAAAGGGACCCCUGACCAUUAGGUCCAGUCGCAGACGACUCUGGGGUUCUGGUGCUCAUCUCGCUUUAUUGGCUGAGGGAGCCAGUGUACAGCUUCCGGAUCAUGUGGCCAGCAUGACUAAGCCGCUUCUGGCGAAACCAGAGCAGCGCACGGAAACACCAUUUACCUUCCCACCGGAGCAGUACCUAUUUAUUUACUUGCACUUUGACGUGCUUUCGAACUGCUAGGUUGGCAGGAGCUGGGACUGAGCAACGGGAGCUCACCCCGUUGCGCAGAUUCGAACCGCCGACCUUCUGAUCAGCAAGUCCUAGGCUCUGUGGUUUAACCCACAGUGCCACCCAUGUCCCAAUUUCGGGUCGUAGUGAAUACAAUUCAGGUUUUAUGUUGUGGGUUCGCGGCUUUUAAAAAUGUUGUUGGGCAAUCAGAAACCUGAGAUGCUUUCAACAAUCCUAUCCAUGAAACAUGCUCAACAUGUAAAGCACUGUAUAUUCCGGUACAAUGUCUUUUUUUUUUGCAGAAAACCGCAUUCUCAAUAGUAUUAUCAUUAUUUUUGUACCAAACCACUUGUAUUCUCACAAUUUAACCUUUUGCACCAGAGAUUUAGGAAUAACAUUGUGGCUGGCGGCAGCAGUGUGGGGAGGAAGAAGAAUGCCCUGCCCUCCCUGUUUCAGAGCUCAUGCAGUCAUUCCACAGGAGCAGAUUAUAAGAAGAUGUUGUACCACUGGAUAAUAGCCAACAAAGCCCUACUCAGAGUAGACCCAUUGAAAUUAAUGAACCUAAGUUAGGCAAGUGGAUCUACUCUGAGUUCUGCAUUGGUCACAUCUCAUCUGGAAUACUGUGUCCAGUUAUGUGGACAGUGUAUUAUGAGGACAUCAGCGAAUUGGAAUGCAUCCACAGGAGGGGAAACAAAGAUGGUGAAUGUCCUGGGUAUGUUUAGCCCACAGAAUAAAUGGUUAACAAUCCUCACAUAUUUGGAGGUCUGCCAUGUAGAUGAUGUUGCUCCAGAGGGGAGAACCUAACCCAGUGUUUCAAAUGACAAUGAAUGCUCUUUAAACAUACAACUGUAAGGUUUAUUUGUAAUUUAAUAUUGAAUGGAUAAACUGUGGGCCUUUGGAUCUUGUUGAAUCUUGACCCUCACUGAAAUCUCUUCCCCCUCCCCUGCCACUAAGGGAAUCAGAAAUGACAUCACAUCAUAUUGAUUCCUCUUCGGACUCAGUGAGACAGUGUUUGUCUUCAUUACAGAAGCUCUGCCGUUAAUGGUGAAGCUAUCCUGGAAGUCCAAUCAGAGGUAGAGUCGGAAGCGAAAAAGUUAAGAGCGAACACAGUCUAAGGGGAAAUAUUUUGAUAAGUGCUGAACCGUAAUGCCUUUGGAUGGUCUUACAACCAGUUGGCUCAUUGGUAUGAGUUUGUGAAGUUCAUUCUUGAUCCAGAUCAAUAAAUCUUGAACCAACUGAGUUUUUAUAAUAGAACUCAUUGAAGAAGAAAACUCCACGGAUUUGAUUGCUUUCCCCAGCUUUUGAAACGUAAAGAACAAACGCAGCACUG